CCUGUCCCCAGGAGUGUCACAGCCCUGACCCCGGGGAUGUCACAGCCCUGUCCCCAGGGGUGUCAGGGGGUGGGAGACAUCCCAGCUCCCACCAUCACCCUCAGCCUCACCUCAGCACCCCAGCUUGCUGCCCAAGGCAGGAGUGAAGCUGAGGCAAAGAUCCAGCCCAGCCACCAGACAGACCCAGGGUGGCACCAGUGCCACCACCAAAGGCCACCAAGCACUCAUUGCUCCAGGCCACCAAACUGCAGAGGAGAAAACAACGUCCCCUCUCCCUGGGGGAGGGAUCUGCCCCGUGUUUCCUCAGCCAGGGCCAAGGGGCUCUGCGUGUGCUGGGGCUGGAGACGUGGGCUGACUGCUCAGCAGGCACUCAGGGAUGCUGGGUGUUUUAUCAGCUGCUGUGUCAGGGGCAGAUGAGCUGCAGGAAGCCCCAGCAGGGAGAUUUCCACUUCCAGCCCAGCUGGCCAUCCCUGCAGCACCAAGACCUCGCUAGCACUGUGUGGGAAGGGAAACCCUGCUGCCAGCACCCCAAAACCCACCCAAGCUCCCAAAUCACCUGCACUGCCUUCCUGUGAGUGCAUCAGGGCAGCUGAGCCCCCCCAGAGCCCCAUGGUGCCAUGGCCCUGGGAAUGCCCUGGCACAGGGAGAAAAAGCACUACCUUGCUCUGAAUUUUCCAUGCUAAAAACAAACCAAAACAACUGCUGCAGUGGAAAUAUAGAAUGAGACUUAGACCUGUGAUCUCUGUUGCUUUUAUCAGAGCACAAGCAGCUCUAUCCCAAAGCAGUCUCUUCUCAAUGUAUUUGGUGAUUUAAUUAAAAAAAAAAGAGA